ACAGGCUUAACACAUGCAAGUCGAGGGGCAGCAUGGUCUUAGCUUGCUAAGGCCGAUGGCGACCGGCGCACGGGUGAGUAACACGUAUCCAACCUGCCGUCUACUCUUGGACAGCCUUCUGAAAGGAAGAUUAAUACAAGAUGGCAUCAUGAGUCCGCAUGUUCACAUGAUUAAAGGUAUUCCGGUAGACGAUGGGGAUGCGUUCCAUUAGAUAGUAGGCGGGGUAACGGCCCACCUAGUCUUCGAUGGAUAGGGGUUCUGAGAGGAAGGUCCCCCACAUUGGAACUGAGACACGGUCCAAACUCCUACGGGAGGCAGCAGUGAGGAAUAUUGGUCAAUGGGCGAGAGCCUGAACCAGCCAAGUAGCGUGAAGGAUGACUGCCCUAUGGGUUGUAAACUUCUUUUAUAAAGGAAUAAAGUCGGGUAUGGAUACCCGUUUGCAUGUACUUUAUGAAUAAGGAUCGGCUAACUCCGUGCCAGCAGCCGCGGUAAUACGGAGGAUCCGAGCGUUAUCCGGAUUUAUUGGGUUUAAAGGGAGCGUAGAUGGAUGUUUAAGUCAGUUGUGAAAGUUUGCGGCUCAACCGUAAAAUUGCAGUUGAUACUGGAUAUCUUGAGUGCAGUUGAGGCAGGCGGAAUUCGUGGUGUAGCGGUGAAAUGCUUAGAUAUCACGAAGAACUCCGAUUGCGAAGGCAGCCUGCUA
rnacentral:rRNA from 1 species